CCGAUUGAAUGGCUCAGUGAGGCCUUGGGACUGGCUCAGGAAGGUCGGCAACGACCAUCCAGAGCCGGAAACUUGGUCAAACUUGGUCAUUUAGAGGAAGUAAAAGUCGUAACAAGGUU
rnacentral:rRNA from 1 species